rnacentral:rRNA from 1 species
GACGGACGCUGGCGGCGUGCUUAACACAUGCCAGUCGAACGGAAAGGCCCCAGCUUGCUGGGGUACUCGAGUGGCGAACGGGUGAGUAACACGUGGGUGAUCUGCCCUGCACUCUGGGAUAAGCCUGGGAAACUGGGUCUAAUACCGGAUAGGACCUUUCUUUCGUGUGUGCGCUGGAAAGUUUUUCGGUUCAAGAUGAGCCCGUGGCCUAUGAGCUUGUUGGUUGGGUAAUGGCUUACCAAGGCGGCGACGGGUAGCCGGCCUGGGAGGGUGUACGGCCACAUUGGGACUGAGAGACGGACCAGAAGCCUACGGGAGGCAGCAGGGGGGAAUAUUGCACAAUGGGGGCAAGCCUGAGGCAGCGGCGCCGGGUGGGGGAUGACGGCCUUCGGGUUGUAAACCCCUGUCGGCAGGGACGAAGCUUUUGUGACGGUACCUGAAUAAGAAGCACCGGCUAACUACGUG